rnacentral:rRNA from 1 species
CUUUCWGUGAUGGAUGUCUUGGCUCGAACAACGAUGAAGGGCGCAGUGAAGUGCGAUGAGCACUGUGAAUUGCAGGAUUCCGCGAGCCAGCAARGACUUGAWCGUGCYCUGCGCUUUCGGGAUAUCCCUGGGAGCAUGCUUGCAUCAGUGUCU